UGAGAGAGAGAGAGAGAGAGAGAGAGAGAGAGAGAGAGAGAGAGAGAGAGAGAGAAAGAGAGAGAGAGAGUACCACAGUCUUCACCAAAACCUCCUUACAUAAACAACCCAGUGAUAUUACUAAGCCAUGUCCUGUAUAAGCUAAGCCAGCCAAGCCACCCUAUCCCCCCUUAAUGACUGUGAUAAUUUAAACACUAGCCUCACCCUCUAUAACUGUACUGGGGGCUGGGAGGGACUGCUAGAGGGGGGACUAGGGAGCUGGGGGCUGAAAGAAUGCAUUUAGAAGGGAUAUUAAAGUAAUUAGGGAGCUGAGGGGCUGGAAAAAUGCAUUGAUAAGGGGUUUAUAAGUAAUUUGAUGGGGCUGUUUGCUGGGGGCUGGAAAAAUACAUUAAGAAGGGGUGUAAUAGUAAUUUGAUGGGGCUACUUGCUGGGGGGCUAAUAGAAUGCAUUUAACAAAGGGUGUAAUAGUAAUUUGAUGGGGCUAUGUACUGCGGGGCUAACAGAAUGCAUUAAUAAGGGGUUUAUAUGUAAUUUGAUGGGGCUACUUGCUGCAGGGCUAACAGAAUGCAUUAAUAAGGGGUUUAUAUGUAAUUUGAUGGGGCUGUUUGCUGGGGGGCUAAUAGAAUGCAUUUAAGAAGGGGUGUAAUAUUAAUUUGAUGGGGCUGUUUGCUGGGGAGGGCUGACAGAAUGCAUUUAGAAGGGAUAUUAAAGUAAUUAGGGAGCUGAGGGGCUGGAAAAAUGCAUUGAUAAGGGGUUUAUAAGUAAUUUGAUGGGGCUGUUUGCUGGGAGCUGGAAAAAUACAUUAAGAAGGGGUGUAAUAGUAAUUUGAUGGGGCUACUUGCUGGGGGGCUAAUAGAAUGCAUUUAAGAAAGGGUGUAAUAGUAAUUUGAUGGGGCUAUGUACUGCGGGGCUAACAGAAUGCAUUAAUAAGGGGUUUAUAUGUAAUUUGAUGGGGCUACUUGCUGCAGGGCUAACAGAAUGCAUUAAUAAGGGUUUUAUAUGUAAUUUGAUGGGGCUGUUUGCUGGGGGGCUAAUAGAAUGCAUUUAAGAAGGGGUGUAAUAUUAAUUUGAUGGGGCUGUUUGCUGGGGGCUGACAGAAUGCAUUUAGAAGGGGGUGUAAUAAUUUGAUGGGGCUAAGGGCUGUGGGGGGGCCUGAUAGAAUGUAUUUAGAAGAUAUACAUAAAUAAUUUGGGGGCUGGGGGCUGAGUGAAUGCAUUUAAGAGGCCUGUUGAGUAAUUUGAGGGUUUUUAGAGGGUUUAGUGCUGUUUUGUAAGGAAUUGUAGAGUUUUAAAUGGAAUCCAGUUUGUGAGAAUGCAUUUAAGAGGGAUUUAAGAAUAAUUUGGAUUUUUUAAAAUAUUCAAUGCUGUUUUGAAAGGGAUUCUAGAGUUCUUAAAAGGAAUUCAGUUUGCUAGAAUGCAUUUAAGAGGGAUGUAGAGUAAUUUGGGUGUUUUUAGAGGAUUGAAUGCUGUUUUGUAAUGGAUUGUAAAUUAUUUUUGGGUCUAGAACUGUUCAUAAAAGGAAUCCAGUUUGUAAGAAUGCAUUUAAGAGGGAUGUAAAGUGGUUUUUAAAGAAUUGAAUGCUGUUUUGCAAAGGAUUUAAAUUAUUUUGGUCUAUAAUUAAAGAAUUGAGUGUUUUUUUGCUAACUAAUUAUGAAGAGGAGUCUGUAAUAAUGCAUUUAGGAAGAAAUAUAUAAACAAUUUGGGGAUUUUAAAGGAUUGAAUGCUGUUUUGUAAAGGAUUAUAGAUUAUUUGGUCUAAUAAUUAAAGAAUCAAGUGUUUUCUUACUAAUGAAGAGAAGUUUGUAGGAAUACAUUUAGGAAGGAACAUAUAAAUAAUUUUGGGUUUUUAAAGAAUUGAAUGCUGUUUUGUGAAGGAUUUAGAUAUUUUGGUCAGUAAUUAAAGAAUCAAAUUUUUCUUACUAAUUAUGAAGAGAAGUUUGUAAGAAUGCAUUUAGGAAGGAUGUAUAGAGUAAUUUAGGAUGUUUUAGAGGAUUGAAUACUGUUUUGUAAAGGAUUAUAAAUGAUUAUGGUCUAGAACUGUUUGUAAAAGGAAAUUCUAUGGCCUGUAAUGCACUGAAGAGGGUUAUAUAGAUUCCCGUGAUGUGAAGGAUUGAAUACUACUUUAAAGGAUUCCAGUGGUGGUGUUGUGGUGUUUGGUGUAUAGUCAGUGAGAUUAGAACCUUUUUAUACUGAGAUAAUGAUGUUAAUGCAUUUCUCGGGGGGUUUAAGAUGAGAUUGUGAUGAUUAGAGGGUUGAAUGCUACUUGUGAAGGAUUAUUCCAGUACAGUUAUAGUGGUGUUGGAUUGAUAGUUAGUGAGAUUAGAACCUUUUUAUACUGAGACAAUGGUGUUAAUGCAUUUCUCAAGGGGGUUUAAGAUGAGAUUGUGAUGAUUAGAGGGUUGAAUACUACUUAUGAAGGAUUCCAGUACAGUUAUAGUGGUGUUGGAUUGAUAGUCAGUGAGAUUAGAACCUUUUUAUACUACAUAUGGCAUUUUUACAUUUUUAAAGGGAGUCAAGACAAGGUUAUGAGAUGUAGAUGAUUCAGUGACAUUUUUUAGAGGAUUCCAGUGCAUUUGUAGUGGUGUUGUACUGGGAUUUGAACCUUUUAUACUGCAUUUUUUUAUAAUCAUGCAUUUCUGAGGUGAAGAAUGUGAAUUACUAAAGUUUAGAGCACCGAAUGACACUUAAAGGGGUUCCAAGACUGCUGUGGCAGGUAGCCAAUGGUAUCAGAACCCUUUUUGUAUGAAACUUUUAGGAUCUAAGCAUUUAUAGAGGGAAGAACAAAAACCUAGUGAUUUAAAAGGUACAGUGAUGCUCUUAAAUUAUUCCAAGACUAGUAAUAGUGUUUUGUGAGGUUUUAGUAGGAUUUGAACCUUUUUGAUAUGAUUAUGCACUUGUAGAGAGAAUGAAGGCAAGGCAGUGAUAAGACAAGGAUUCUAAUAGUGUUUGAUGCUAAAAGGGAGUAUUGGAACCUUUUAAAACCCCCACUCUUGUAGUUUAUGGGUUCAUAAUUACUUUAUAAGGAAGGUCAUACCAGUUUGUAAAAAAUUCUAAUGGUGUUUAAUGGUAUUUGAUGUUAAAAUGGAGUAUUGGAACAUAUAUAAUCCCAUUCUUUUAGUUUAUGGGUUCAUAAUCACUUUAUAAGGAGUUUGGAAGGUCAGGACAGUUUGUAAAGGAUUCUAUAAUGGUGUUUGAUGCUAAAAGGGAGCAUUGGGACCUAUUAAAACUCACUCAUAAUAGGUUUAAAAGGGCUUAUGAUACUAUUAAAGGAUUCUAAUGCUGUAGUAAUGGUGUUAGAAUCCAUGUUUGCUGUAUAUUUUUCUUGCCAUUAGUAUGUACACCUUUGUAAUGUAUGUGUGUGUGUAUGUAUGCAUGAAUGGUUUAAUUUUAAUAUUUGAAGGGAGUUACUAUUAUUAUUAUUGUAUUUAGUUAAUUGUGGUUAAUGAAAUGCAUUUACAAUUGAGAGAGAGAGAGAGAGAGAGAUCCACAUGAUGAAUUAAUAAAGCAAAGAAAAACCGUGAAAUUUGGCGGGAAAUGUGAUGAAUGAUAAUCUUGCCAUAAAAUUUCUCCUUAGUAAUUUUGUGCCAUAAUAAGAAUACAAAAAGUAAAGGUUUAACAUGAAAUAAAACUGUGCCAUGGGUGAAAGCUGAUAGAGAUGCAAUGAAGAUGGAAACAAGUGCCAACAGAGGAAAGGAUGAUAGUGAUAAACAGAUAACAGUAAUAGAAACAAGAUAAUGACGAGAAAAGGAGGAAAGAAAUAAAAGAAAAAAAAUAAUAAUGAUAGAUGACAAAAUAAGAUAAUGACGAGAAGAGGAGGAAAGAAAUUAAAGAAAAACUGACAAAAUAAGAUAAAGAAGACAAGAAAAUAAUGAUAGUAAUAAUAAGAAAAGUUAAUUAGUGAAGAAGUGGAAGUAGAUACAGGAAAAUUUGGAAAAAGUGACUUAGAACAAUGUUAUAAAGAAAUAUUGCUUAAAGAAAGGAAUUAGAGCAAAGAAAAGAAAGAAAGGGAAUAUACACGUCAAAAUAAGAAAAGAAAAAGUAAUAGAAAUAUGAAAGUAAGGAAUAAAAAAGGAUGAAAAAAUGAACAAAAUAUAUUAAAUUUAUACACAGUUAAGAAAAGAAAGAAAAAAUUGUAGAAACUUAAGAAUUCAUUGAAACAAACACAAUGAAAAGAUGUACAUACCAAACACACACACACACACACACACACACAACACAACAAAGAAAGAAGAAAAUAAAGAAAAGAGUAGAAAAUUA